CGUAGGGGGCAAGCGUUGUCCGGAUUUAUUGGGCGUAAAGCGCGUGUAGGCGGCUAUGCAGGUCCGCUGUGAAAACUCGAGGCUCAACCUCGAGACGUCGGUGGAAACCGUAUGGCUAGAGUCCGGAAGAGGAGAGUGGAAUUCCCGGUGUAGCGGUGAAAUGCGCAGAUAUCGGGAAGAACACCCGUGGCGAAGGCGGCUCUCUGGGACGGUACUGACGCUGAGACGCGAAAGCGUGGGGAGCGAACAGGAUUAGAUACCUUGGUAGUCCACGCCGUAAACGAUGGGUGCUAGGUGUGGGAGGUGUCGACUCCUUCCGUGCCGCAGCUAACGCAUUAAGCACCCCGCCUGGGGAGUACGGCCGCAAGGCUA
rnacentral:rRNA from 1 species